AUGAUCACACUCUUUGUGGCUCUUUACUCUCUGCUUUGUCUCUGCACAACUGGAAACACUUCUGACAUCAAGGAGCCUCACGUAAAAACAGUAAAGCUGGGAGAAAAUGUAACAAUGGAGUGUAACGUUAGUGGAAAUAAAGAUAAUGUAUUUUGGUACAGACAGAGAUUCGGAGAAAUGCCUCAGUUUUUAGCAAAACCAUACAAGAACGCUAAGGGCUACACAUUUGCAGAGGAAUUUAAUGAUAGACGCUUCAGUGUUACUGUAAAUGGCAGUAAAUUUGAUCUCAACAUUAAUGGAACAAAUAAAAGUGACAGAGGAGACUAUCUCUGUCUAAAUCUUGACGGAACUACACCAAAGUUCACAUCUGGAACACGUCUGCAGUUUAAAGGUGAAGAGAUGAAACCCUGUCCUUCACCUGGAACACUUAACAAGAACACACACUCUGUUACACACCAGGGUUCAAACAGCAGAGAUGGGGAGGGUUCUUCAUCAAACAACCAUCAAACUCCCACCAAUCAGGCUGAUGAUGAAGAUGUCUUGAACUAUGCAGCUGUGAGUUUUGCUAAGAAACCUUCAUCCUCCAGAACAUCCAGAGACACGAGCCAUCAAGACGUUUAUGCACAAGUUAGGAUAAAAUAGGUUGCUGAAACUUCCAUGAUUAUUUCCAAACCGUCUUAUUGUAUUAUUUUGUUUUACCUGAUAGAUCUUUUUCGUUUACUUGUUUGUUUAUUUUUUUAAACUUUUGAUUGUGCUCAGCGGCCUACAAGCUGUUUUUUCCCCUAAAAGUCUAACAUGUGAAUGUUUCAUUUGUAUUUGUUUUUA